ACUUAUAAAAACUUUUUGCUUUGAACUCUUAAUCUCACACACUUAUUGAGUUUUAUAGUGGAAAUGACAUUUUAAUAUCUAGUUUUUGGGCAUUAAAUGAGGGCCAUAAACUGUUCUAACUUGUUUUUUAGUAAUAAAAUUCUUACAUUGUAUCAGCCAGUGUUGAAUUCUUUCAUUUGUUUUACAAAACAAUUGAGAGUUGUUCUUAUAUUUAGUCGUUUGUUUCCAGUGCUUUCCUGAGCAACAAUAUGCACCUAGUGUCUGUCAAUUCUAUUCCAGCCUUUACUGUGUCAAUGCAAAAUUUUAUUCCAAUGACGACUGGGUAAUAGUCAUGUGUUUGCCUAAUUGUGAAAGAAGAACAGGUCAGUGUGAAACGACAUUAGAGGCUAUUAAAGAAAGGAGCGAAGUUGUAACAAUACAGCCACCUCAAACGCCACUAGCUGUUCCUUUUGAUUUUGAACUAAGGGUUGUGUUGGAGAGAGAAGUUACAACCUUAUAUGGAGAGUGUUAAUGUAAAAUAAAUGUUAGAUCCUAUGAGCUCCUAAUGUGGAAGCAUUUUCUUACCCCCAAAGACUUAUAGAGUCAUUCAUUGGGAAAAUAUUCAUACAUCCUAUUCCAUAAGAAAAAUUAUUCAUUUUUGUAA